AUGCUGAUCUUUGGAUCUUUCUAUUCAUCAGAGAAUCCUGAAAAAAUUACAAUAAUAAUACUCAACUUAAAUAUUGAUGAUAAUAAUAAUAAUAAUAAAUGUUUCUUAAACAUAAACGAAGUUAAAAAUAUAACAAUAUUGAAAAUUUGCAUACACCAUCAUAAACUAAACAUCAUUGUCAAUUGUGUAUUUUUAUGGAAUUAUGUGGUUACAGAGCUGCAGUAUAAGCUGAUAAUGGAGCUCCCAAAGUCGAGCAGUAUAGGAUCCAGCCGGAGAAUCUGUAAGCAUACAGACAACGACGAGUUCCAGAGACACGGAAAGAACUAUCUGGAACAGACUUUGGAGGAAACCUGCUCACCACAAGUCACAGAGAUCAGUCAUUUACAAUAUAGAGAAACCAGAUCAAGUUCCCUCACAGGGGACAGAACCAAUGAUCGUUCAGAAGUCAAAGCAGGGUUCAUCACUUCUCUACAGCCUCUGAUGAUCCAGUGUAGUCCAUCUCAGGCCCCUCGACCUCCCACCCUACAGGAAAGUGAGCUAAUCAUACGCCAGCUGAACAAUGCUAACAGCCUGCAGUCCCAGGAGAUCCAACGUGUGAAAGGCGUUCUCAAAGACAUUGGAUUCAACAAGAAAAUAACUGCAGAGAAUUUACAAGUUUACAAAAAUAUUUUGACCAAGACUUAUCUUGCUGAUGGUAAAAGAGCUGAUGAAUCAGACACGUUUCCCCCCCUUUCUCACCAAACACUGCCUAAAGGACUACCUGUGUCUCAGGCUAGUAAAGCAGAGAAAGUGAUGCUCCCUGCCCUCAAACAGCCCCUCAAUAACAUAGCAGACAGACACAGGAGGACUCAGGCUGUGCAGAGACGUCGUCUACAGAGGAAUAUGCGCUGA
rnacentral:lncRNA from 1 species